AAAAAAAACAAGUAUGGCUGAGCUCGCUUGUCUUAAUAUUUUUUAUUAGAAUGAUAAAUCAUAUACCACGAUUAGGAUUUCUUUGAAGAAUGGAAAUACAAAAGGACGUAAAAUGUUUAUAUUCGGCACAGGAAGGAUAGCGUUGUAUAAACGAAUGAUAAUUGUUCAGUAUUUCAAACAAGUAAGGCUUUUGUCAUCAAUACUAACAUUCUUUUUUUUUUUUUAAAUCCGGGAAAUUGACAAUUCUUACAAUUGGAUAUUUGUAAAUCCCGUGUAUCCCGUAGUAUGGUAUGAUAUUCUAUUCGUUGCAUUUGGUAUAAGCCUUCAAAUACGAGCAGACUUGGUUAGCCCAAUAUCAUUCUCCCAUUUGGAUUUAGUCAAUGUUACGAUAUAAAUGGUCACAAAUCUCCGGUAUCGUAAUGUUAUCCAGUUUCAAACGACAUAACAUGUUUCAAUUUAAUAAUGACUUAUUAAUAGUUGCAUAACUACUGUAUUUCACUAGAAUCCUUUACUUAGCAUAAUGUGUGU